GAUGUUGGCUUAGAAGCAGCCAUCAUUUAAAGAGUGCGUAAUAGCUCACUAGUCGAGUGACACUGCGCCGAAAAUGUACCGGGGCUAAACAUAUUACCGAAGCUGUGGAUUGUCCUUUGGACAAUGGUAGGAGAGCGUUCUAAGGGCGUCGAAGCAUGAUCGCAAGGACAUGUGGAGCGCUUAGAAGUGAGAAUGCCGGUGUGAGUAGCGAAAGACGGGUGAGAAUCCCGUCCACCGAUUGACUAAGGUUUCCAGAGGAAGGCUCGUCCGCUCUGGGUUAGUCGGGUCCUAAGCUGAGGCCGACAGGCGUAGGCGAUGGAUAACAGGUUGAUAUUCCUGUACCACCUAGUAUCGUUUUAAUCGAUGGGGGGACGCAGUAGGAUAGGCGAAGCGUGCUGUUGGAGUGCACGUCCAAGCAGUAAGGCUGAGUGUUAGGCAAAUCCGGCACUCAUAAGGCUGAGCUGUGAUGGGGAGAGGAAAUUGUUUCCUCGAGUCGUUGAUUUCACACUGCCGAGAAAAGCCUCUAGAUAGAUAACAGGUGCCCGUACCGCAAACCGACACAGGUAGUCAAGAUGAGAAUUCUAAGGUGAGCGAGCGAACUCUCGUUAAGGAACUCGGCAAAAUGACCCCGUAACUUCGGGAGAAGGGGUGCUCUUUAGGGUUCACGCCCAGAAGAGCCGCAGUGAAUAGGCCCAAGCGACUGUUUAUCAAAAACACAGGUCUCUGCUAAACCGUAAGGUGAUGUAUAGGGGCUGACGCCUGCCCGGUGCUGGAAGGUUAAGAGGAGUGGUUAGCUUCUGCGAAGCUACGAAUCGAAGCCCCAGUAAACGGCGGCCGUAACUAUAACGGUCCUAAGGUAGCGAAAUUCCUUGUCGGGUAAGUUCCGACCCGCACGAAAGGCGUAACGAUUUGGGCACUGUCUCAACGAGAGACUCGGUGAAAUCAUAGUACCUGUGAAGAUGCAGGUUACCCGCGACAGGACGGAAAGACCCCGUGGAGCUUUACUGUAGCCUGAUAUUGAAAUUCGGCACAGCUUGUACAGGAUAGGUAGGAGCCUUUGAAACGUGAGCGCUAGCUUACGUGGAGGCGUUGGUGGGAUACUACCCUAGCUGUGUUGGCUUUCUAACCCGCACCACUUAUCGUGGUGGGAGACAGUGUCAGGCGGGCAGUUUGACUGGGGCGGUCGCCUCCUAAAAGGUAACGGAGGCGCUCAAAGGUUCCCUCAGAAUGGUUGGAAAUCAUUCAUAGAGUGUAAAGGCAUAAGGGAGCUUGACUGCGAGACCUACAAGUCGAGCAGGGUCGAAAGACGGACUUAGUGAUCCGGUGGUUCCGCAUGGAAGGGCCAUCGCUCAACGGAUAAAAGCUACCCCGGGGAUAACAGGCUUAUCUCCCCCAAGAGUUCACAUCGACGGGGAGGUUUGGCACCUCGAUGUCGGCUCAUCGCAUCCUGGGGCUGUAGUCGGUCCCAAGGGUUGGGCUGUUCGCCCAUUAAAGCGGUACGCGAGCUGGGUUCAGAACGUCGUGAGACAGUUCGGUCCCUAUCCGUCGUGGGCGUAGGAAAUUUGAGAGGAGCUGUCCUUAGUACGAGAGGACCGGGAUGGACAUACCUCUGGUGUACCAGUUGUCGUGCCAACGGCAUAGCUGGGUAGCUAUGUAUGGACGGGAUAAGUGCUGAAAGCAUCUAAGCAUGAAGCCCCCCUCAAGAUGAGAUUUCCCAACUUCGGUUAUAAGAUCCCUCGAAGAUGACGAGGUUAAUAGGUUCGAGGUGGAAGCGUGGUGACACGUGGAGCUGACGAAUACUAAUCGAUCGAAGACUUAAUCAA
rnacentral:rRNA from 1 species